rnacentral:rRNA from 1 species
AUGAACGCUAGCGACAGGCCUAACACAUGCAAGUCAGGGGCAGCACAAGGAGCAAUCUGAGGUGGCGACCGGCGCACGGGUGAGUAACACGUAUGCAACCUGCCUGUAAGCGGGGAAUAACCCGUUGAAAGACGGACUAAUACCGCAUAAUACUAAAUUACUGCAUGGUAAUUUAUUUAAACAUUUAUGGCUUACAGAUGGGCAUGCGCAUGAUUAGCUAGUUGGAGAGGUAACGGCUCCCCAAGGCAACGAUCAUUAGGGGUUCUGAGAGGAAGGUCCCCCACACUGGUACUGAGACACGGACCAGACUCCUACGGGAGGCAGCAGUGAGGAAUAUUGGUCAAUGGACGAGAGUCUGAACCAGUCAAGUCGCGUGCAGGAAGAAUGUCCCUAUGGAUUGUAAACUGCUUUUGCAGGGGAAUAAAGUGCAUCACGUGUGAUGUUUUGUAUGUACUCUGCGAAUAAGGAUCGGCUAACUCCGUGCCAGCCGCAGC